AGCUAGAUGGCACAGUGUAAGCGCGCCGGGCUCAUAUGGAAAUUCCUGUAAACCCGGAGGACGAAGGAUCGAGGCCUUUUCUAACUA